AGCGGCAGACGGGUGAGUAACGCGUGGGAAUCUACCGAGCCCUACGGAAUAACGCAUGGAAACGUGUGCUAAUACCGUAUACGCCCUACGGGGGAAAGAUUUAUCGGGGUUUGAUGAGCCCGCGUUGGAUUAGCUAGUUGGUGGGGUAAAGGCCUACCAAGGCGACGAUCCAUAGCUGGUCUGAGAGGAUGAUCAGCCACAUUGGGACUGAGACACGGCCCAAACUCCUACGGGAGGCAGCAGUGGGGAAUAUUGGACAAUGGGCGCAAGCCUGAUCCAGCCAUGCCGCGUGAGUGAUGAAGGUCUUAGGAUUGUAAAGCUCUUUCACCGGAGAAGAUAAUGACGGUAUCCGGAGAAGAAGCCCCGGCUAACUUCGUGCCAGCAGCCGCGGUAAUACGAAGGGGGCUAGCGUUGUUCGGAAUUACUGGGCGUAAAGCGCACGUAGGCGGAUAUUUAAGUCAGGGGUGAAAUCCCAGAGCUCAACUCUGGAACUGCCUUUGAUACUGGGUAUCUAGAGUAUGGAAGAGGUGAGUGGAAUUCCGAGUGUAGAGGUGAAAUUCGUAGAUAUUCGGAGGAACACCAGUGGCGAAGGCGGCUCACUGGUCCAUUACUGACGCUGAGGUGCGAAAGCGUGGGGAGCAAACAGGAUUAGAUACCCUUGGUAGUCCACGCCGUAAAC
rnacentral:rRNA from 1 species